rnacentral:rRNA from 1 species
UGAGGAAUAUUGCGCAAUGGCCGAAAGGCUGACGCAGCGACGCCGCGUGAGGGAUGAAGUCCGUUAGGAUGUAAACCUCUUUUGCAGGGGAUGAAUGUUCCCGAUUUAUCGGGACUUGACCGUACCCUGCGAAUAAGGAUCGGCCAACUACGUGCCAGCAGCCGCGGUAAUACGUAGGAUCCGAGCGUUGUCCGGAAUUACUGGGUGUAAAGGGCGUGUAGGUGGGCUUCUAAGUCGGUGGUGAAAUCCUGCAGCUUAACUGCAGAACUGCCUCCGAUACUGGGAGUCUUGAGUACGGCAGAGGGAGAUGGAAUUCAUGGUGUAGCGGUGAAAUGUGUAGAUAUCAUGAAGAACACCGGUAGCGAAGGCGGUCUCCUGGUCCGUUACUGACACUGAGGCG